rnacentral:tRNA from 1 species
CCACGCGUAGGUCAGAGGAAGACCGUCCGCCUCACAUGCGGAAGGCCGCUGGUUCGAGUCCAGCCGCGUGGACC